UUUGAUAAUAAUUUUUUUACUUAAUUUGAAUUGAUUAUUAUAAUUAUAAAAAUAUUUUUAUUUUAUUAGUUUGGAAAAAAUUAUAGGUUGUGAUAGUGAAAUAUUGUAUUGUGAAAGAAUAGUAUUUUAUAAUUGAGAAGAAGAAUUUAUUUUUUGUACCUUGUGUAUCAGGGUUUAUUAAAUUUGUUUUAAAAAUUUAUUUAUCCCGAAUCGAAAAGAGCUAUUAUUUUAUAUUUAUUAACGUGUUAUAGUUAUUGAAAAUAUAAUAAUAGAAAUGAAACGUUAUUCGUUUUUUGAUAUAUCUGGUUUCUUGAGAAAUAAAUUUAAUUUAGCUAUUAAGAUUUAAUUGGUCAAUUAUUUGAUUGAUUUUGAAUUAAAAUGUAAUUUAGUCGGGGAUGAGCUCGAUUAAAAAUUUUUAUUUAUAAAAAAAUAUUACGAAUAUAUAGGGAUAGAAAUUUCCAUUUUUUAUAAUUUGUUAUAAUUAUCUUGUGAUUUUAUAUAAUUUUUAUUUAUAAUAAAUAAUUUAUUGAGAUAUUAAUUUUAAUUUUGAUUAUUAAAAAAUAAUGAUUGAAUUAGUAUAUUUUUAUGUAAUUUUAAAUUUUAGAAGGGGAAGAAAUAUAAAAGGAAUUCGGCAAAUAUGUUUUCCACCUGUUUAUUAAAAACAUGGCUUUUUGAUUAAUAAUUUAAAGUCUGGCCUGCCCAAUGAAUUUUGAAUGGCCGCGGUAUUUUGACCGUGCUAAGGUAGCAUAAUCAUUAGUUUCUUAAUUAGAAACUGGAAUGAAAGGUUUAAUGAGAAAAUAACUGUCUCUUAUAUUUUAAUAAAAUUUUAUUUUUGAGUUAAAAAGCUCAAAUUUAAUUGAAAGACGAGAAGACCCUAUAGAGUUUUAUAAAAAAUUUUUUAUAUUAUUUUUGUGAAUUAUAUUAAUUAAUAAAAUUAUUUAUUUAAUUGGGGUGAUUAUAAAAUUUAAUUAACUUUUGUUUAUUUUAAACAUUAAUUUAUGAUUGAUUGAUCCAAUAAUUUUGAUUAUAAGAAUAAAUUACCUUAGGGAUAACAGCGUAAUCUUUUUUUAGAGCUCUAAUCGAUAAAAGGGAUUGCGACCUCGAUGUUGGAUUAAAAUUUACUUAGGGUGCAGAAGUUCUAAGGUUGAGUCUGUUCGACUUUUAAAAUUUUACAUGAUCUGAGUUUAAACCGGCGUGAGCCAGGUUGGUUUCUAUCUUCAAAUAUUCAAGAGUUUUUAGUACGAAAGGACCAGGACUUUAAU
rnacentral:rRNA from 1 species